rnacentral:lncRNA from 1 species
CGUGACUCCCAAGCGCCAGCGGCUUCGUGCGGGCUUCUCGGUUGAGCCGGGCGUUCUCCCUCACGUCGCCGGUGAGGAGGCGGUACUUGGUGCCCUUGAGGCCCUGGGCCCGUAGGGCUCGGUCUAGCCGCCGUGGCGUCCACCACGCCCACUCCAGUGUCCAGGCGACCAGCCACAGCAGCGCCACGGACGCCGCCGCGCCGACCAGCGCCCACGGAGAGGUUUCCCGCAGUAUCAGCAGAACGCUGGUCACCAUUGGUGCAGUGGAAGAGAAGCAGAGGAAAGGCAGAGGCAUGUGCCGGGCGAUGUGUGUGAAUGUGUGAUUGCGGCGAGUCCUUGUAGGCGAUGGAGCUGACCGCUGACCGCUGACCACUGACACGUGUGCUUAAGUCUCCGCGAGCAAAUCCAUUGAGGUCUAAAAAAACCAAAAACCUUUCAAAAUUUCUCGUCGCAUCCAAUCUUGCGACAUAUACAUAGAGUAUUAAAUAUAGACGUAAACAAAAAUUAAAUAUACAGUUUAUCUAUAAAUCAUAAGAUAAAUCUUUUAAGUCUAAUUAAUUUAUUAUUAGAUAAUAUUUGCCAAAUAAAAACGAAAAUACUACAGUACUCAAAACAAAAAAAAUUCAGAACUAAACAAAGCCUUAGGUGAAAUUUGAACUGUAACUAGUGCAAACUAAAAAAUAAAUGAAGUUUAGCACUUGUAAAAAAAACUGCCUGACAGCAGAAACACUUUACCAAACUUAGUAUAAACUAUUAUUAUUAUUUUUUCUUAUUAUCAAAGUAGAUUUUUCCUUUCAGUGAUGUGUACCAAGUCAUCAGUAACUAAUCCUGUGAAGAGACGAGGUCGUGGCGUUGGAAGGGGAAGCAUUUACAGGAACUAAUCCCGUGAUUAAUGAGUGGCAGGGUGGGUAAGUACCUCACCAUGUGGAAGUAUCAAACUUCAAAAACUGGAGUACCCCUUGAGGUACUCCAGGAAAAACAUAGAGCUGGCCUCUAGCUCCACCUUUUUUGUGGAGCGGAGUUCGUGGAGCUAGACGUGUUUGGCAACCCAGAGCUGGAGCGGAGCAGUCCCAAACACCCCUAAGUACGAACCUACUAACUCUUCUUUGGUGCAUCCAUCAUCCAUGUCAUCAUUCACUAGUUUAGCAAAUUACUUGGACCGUCAACUGGCAUAGUUGAAUUGCUUGAUGAAAUCAAAUGGUCAUUCAUUUUGGCUUUGUUGCUCCAUCAUUAUUGUUUCCUCUUUCACCACCUCCCCUCACAUUAUUCUUCUCUUUUUAAGAUGGGAGGUCACGCACUAUUAUAGAAGCAACGCCACCCCCACCAAUUUUUUAUAUGGAACACACACAUAUCAAAAUUGAAACUUUAAAUUGUUUGACCAAUAAUUUGACUAACAGUUUUUAACUAUAAUAAUACAAACUUUAUAAAGUUAAAUUUGUUAUCAAAUAUACUAUCCAACUAUUAUAAGCUCAUAAACAUAAACAAUAUAAUAUAAAAUAAAUAAAUGAUCGUGUGCCUCAUAAAAGAAAACAUAAGUAUUAUUCAUAGAUAUUAGGGCAUCUCCAAGAGUCUUUCUAAAAUUACUCUAAAUCAUCAUUUGGAGAGAUAUUUGAGUAAAUGUUAUUUUCUAUAUCUUUGUAUCCAACAACUUUUCUAUGCAUUGCACGCACUCUAGAGAGCCAUCCUCGUUAUCCAUCUUUGGCUAGUGAAAAAUACGAAAUAGAGAAUGUCUAUAUUUGGAGAUCCAAUUAAUGAGGUUGUUGGAAUUUUCUUAAUUAAAAUCUAUAUCCUAUAAAUUAGGAAGGAUAUAAAGAAUCCCUUAGAGAUGCUCUUAGCGGUAACUAUUGUUGAUGUUUUCUAAGGUUGUAGCCCGUGUAAGAGCACGUGUUGAUAGGUUAGUUUAUAUAGUUAAUCAGGUGAUAAUUACUUCUCCAUCCUUAUAAUAGUGUAUUAGAAUUUAAGAUUUUCAAUUUUUUUAGUUUUAACCAAACAUUAGUCAAGUUGUAUGCACAUCUUUAACAUAUCAAAAAAUAAUAGCUUUUGCGUUUGAAUAUCAUCUACUCCUCCAUUGACUGUUGUUUACAUCAAUUUUACUAUAUGUAUCUACAUAUAAUGUAUGUCUAUAUAUAACAAAAUCUAUGUAACAAAAAAGUCAAAGUGAUAUAACUUAGGCCUUGUUUAGAUGCGAAAAGAUUUUGGAUUUUGCUACUGUAGCACUUUCGUUUGUUUGUGGUAAAUAUUGUCCAAUUAUAGAUUAACUAGAAUCAAAAGAUUCGUCUCGCGAUUUACAGGUAAACUGUGCAAUUAGUUUUUAUUUUUGUUUAUAUUUAAUGCUUCAUGCAUGUGUCGAAAAAUUUGAUGUGACGGGAAAUCUUGAAAAUUUUUUGGUUUUCGGGAUGAACUAAACAAGGUCUUAGAAAGAGGAACCAGUAUAAUAUUGACCUUUCAGCGAUUGGUAAUAUAUAUAUACAGGAAGAAAAAUGAAAAGCCAAAUGUAUAUACUCCUACAUGCAAAGACUACUUUCGAGUACUAGUGCACCCUAUAAAAAAGAACUACAUAUUGUAUAAUUAAGUUCUUUGCCAAAUCUUCACAAAAUUGCAUCGCAGUAACAGUAACCUAUUCCCUAUUAAUACACACCCUCUUUUUAUUAUUCAUAUUCUAACCUACGUAUUAAUACAAAACAACUACUUCCCCCGAUCCAAGUUGUAAGACGUUCUGACAUAGUUGGAUCCGGGAGUAUUCGGUAGCAGCGUAGGAGCUGCUGCUGCUGCCACUGCCAGCGAGCAUAUGAGCAUCACAGUCAGAGCUUUUUCAGCCUUAUCUGAGCACCGUGCUGAGGGUGCAGUGUUAUCACGGUGUAGGGCGCGUGGGUGUAGGAUGGCGAGAGCUCAAAGGAGAAGCGCUGGAGGAUGGUGCAUAGCGCCAUCUUGGCUUCCAGCAACGCAAAGCUCUGGCCGAUGCAGAUCCUGGGCCCCCCUCCAAACGGAAAGAAAGCCGCCUGAUGCCUGGUGGCGUUGGAGAUGCCAUUGGCAAACCUCUCUGGAUUGAACUCACUUGCGUCUUUUCCCCAAAUGUCGGGAUCAUGGUGAAUGAAGAUGAUGGGCAGAAGAAGGUUCACUCCUGCAGGAUAUUUAAUUCCACCGAGCUCCAUUUCCUUAUAAGUUCUUCUGGUUAGAAAGGUUGCCGGUGGGUAUAACCUGAGGACCUCAUGUAGAAUCAUGGUUACCUGCACAUAUAUGACAUAGGACCAAAUUGUUGAUUCAGUUAUACGGUAUGGAAAACACUGGCUUAUUUAGUUUUCCUCAAAGAAUGUUCCAGUUUAACACUUGGCAGCAUUUUUGUCCACAUCAUCCUUUCAGCAUAUUCAGACUCAGAAAUGGAUAACAUAUGGCAUAUAUAUAAAUGUAUCACUGAGACUUAACCAUGACUACUUUGGAUUUAAACCCGCAGUUCUCCACUAGAAUCACAUUAUGAGGUUUAUGUUAAUUAGCUACUAUUGAAUUGAAUAAAAACAAACCAUUUCUAUUUACUUAAUCUCUUUUUACUUAGUCUCCAUUAAUUUGAUAAAGGAAUGGAUAUCACAUAUCCCUUUAGUAAUUCGAUUAAAAAUAUCCCUUUAGUAAUCUGCAAUUUUGGAAUCUUGCAAUAAAGUAGAACAUGGAUUUCACACUUACAAUCUUCAGGCGGCUCAAGCUAUCAAAAUCUGGUCUGGUUCUCCCAAAGUGGCUCAACACUUCUUCUCUUGCUCGCUCUUGCCAUUCUGGGUGCAUGCUUAGCACAAUAAGUGUCCAAGUAAGCAGGACUGAUGUUGUCUCCAUACCUGCAAAGUAAAAUAGCUUGCAUUCCUCAAUCACAUCUUCUGUUGUCAGUCCCAGGCUUGCAUUUCCAUUUGAUUGCCUUGUGUUUGACUCCAGUAAUAAGCCCAGCAAGUCAUCAUUAUUUGUUUCGCCAUUUCUAGUAGCCUUCUCUCUUUUCCCAAUUAUUUCACGGAGAAUUUUGCGGAUCUCUAGAUCGAUUUCUUUCAUCCUUCUGUUGUUUUUGGUGGGCAAGAACCUGCAUAUGCUCAACAGCGUUAUCACAGAAGACUUGCAUUCUGCUAUUCUGAAUUCUUCAUAAAAAUCUUUUCUUUCCAUUUGACACAGCAAUCAAUCUAGUACUAAAAACGCCAACAAUCCUAAAAAAUAUUGUUUUAUGACGAAUUAUAGUUAUAAAAACAAGGAGAGGACUGAGGAGUAAUCGAUAAAAUAAAUCUUCAUGUAUUCAAAUGCUUGGAUACACAAUUGCACAUGAAUAAAACUUUGGUUCUGUUUAGUAGAGGAAAACGUAACAAACCAAUAGCCUGGGAUAAAUAUUGUCUGAAUAGACUGAAUAAGGCGUUCAGCUAGUUCUCCUUGCAGCUGGAAAAUUCUCCUCCCUUCUUGAUAGUUGCUGCCAAAAGCGGUUCUUGAGAUAACAUCUCCAGUAAGAUUCUGGAACUCAGGCCAGACAUCUAUCUCAGAAGAUCCCUCAGAAGGCAUUGAAUUCUCCCAUCUAAUAAUCGUUUCAAUACAACAGGUCGAAAAUACUGGCAGCAUCCGCUGUGAAUUAAACAAUCACCAAUAGUAUAUUUAGGGAACUGCUAUCCAAUAUACAACACAAAUCCAAUGUGAAAUAGUAAAAAAAGUAAAAUCCAUUUAUAGAACGAUCAGCUAAAAGAAUUACCUUUAUUUUCUCAUGGUGAAAGGCAGGAUUAAGAAUUCUCCUGUGCUUUGCCCAUUUUUCACCAUCAUGAUUUACUACCCCAUUGGCUAGCAACUUCCCAAUGCGGCUGCUCCGUGGUUUGCCAAAGUGGCCAAACUUAUUAGACAACACCUCUUUGACUAACUCCGGGUCUGGAAUCAUCACCCUUGGUGUUGGGCCGAACCAAGUGAAAGAUAAUUUCCCUGCAGUUGAGUUUCGGAAACAGGAUUAGUCUAAAGAAGUGAGAAGAGUAGAAGAUAAACGUAUUUUCUGUUUCUUUCAUUCAAUUUUGUUAAUAAAAUAGUCAUCCUAUCAAGUACAAUGUACAUAAAUAUCCCGUUACUGCUACAUAAUCUUUACAGAACAUCAAGCGUCCUACUACUUGAUAGGAGGGGAAAUGAUUAAUCAUGCAGUGCUGCAUUAAGGUAUCAUAUUUACUCUGCCACACCCAUGUCGUCGGUUAUUCAAUUUUUCAGCUGCGCACCAAGGCAUUUUUCAAACGUUAACAAAUCACAAGGCCCAGAUAACUGUACUGCUAAAGUAAAUUAAAAAAAAAAACUAUUUUUCCCCAUCGGGGAUCCUGUAUAUGUGUGCCCAUUUUCGGAGUUCAGGAACAACAUCCAUCGUAACAAUUGCAGUAAAGUAUGAUGCAUCGCUAUUGACGUGCGUGUUUUCAUAUCAGGAAAAUGAAAUGAAAACCAAAAGGUGUAAAGUUUGGGUAGCAGGUUGAUUGGAACACAUAGGAUCAAUACCGUAUUCCUUCAUGGCGCUGUGAAGCAUGGGCUGCACGCGGGGGGCGAUGUCGUGGCAGCCGAGCGGCAGCGGGUUCUUGCGGGCCUCCCGGUUAACCCGGGCGGUCUCCCUCAGGUCGCCGGUGAAGAGGCGGUACCUGGUGCCCUUGAGGCCCUGGGCCCGCAGGGCCCGGUCGAGCCGCCGAGGCGUCCACCAGGCCCACUCCAGCGUCCAGGCCACCAGCCACAGCAGCGCCACGGACGCCGCCGCGCCGGCCAGCGCCCACGGAGAGGUUUCGCGAAGCAUCAGCAGAACGCGG